rnacentral:lncRNA from 1 species
ACUGGAAGGGCAGAAGCAUCCAGGAAAGGAACUCCUGUUCUAAGAUGGCAAAGUUUCAUGCUUCUGGUGAUUUUCAAGCUUUUGAGUAUCCCUGCAGGAUGUACAUGGGUAUCAUUGCCAACUUGGAUGAUCACCUGCUGCUUCUACACCUGAGACCAUGACACUGGUUUACAUGUCUUAGUUAUAGGAAGAGUAAAGACUUGAUUUUAUUGGGGUUCAGAUUACAAAACUGUAAUGAUGACAAUGUAUUUGAAUGUUCUAUGUUCCUUAAAAGUCAUCGAAUACUGAGGGUUUGUGUGUGUGUGUGUGUUUUGUUUGGUCUUGGCUUCAAAGUUAUGUAAGUUGAAUUUGAUCUUUUCAUUAUGGGAUCUUUCUUUAGUUGGUCAAAGUUCAUAGCAUGAGACUGAUAAGCAUUUCACUGUUGACUCUGUCUUUUAUAAAUAGUACCCUCAAAAAUGUGAUUAGAAGGCUAAUAGGCCUAUGCUUGGAGAUAUAAUAUAAUCUGUUGACUUACUACAUUUGAGCUGGCUGCUUAUUUCUGGAGAUGAAAAUGAAAAUUUGUUAGUUGAUAUUUCUGGGUAUCACCAAGUCGUGCUAGUAUGGUUUGAGCACUGAAGUGAUCCCUGACUAAACUGUCAGUUUCUACGAUGGAUGGAAAUAACUAUGAAUGUUGAUCAAGCCACAUAUGUACAUUAGAGAUACUUCUCUAGAUUGUGUGUGACAGGGAGAGUAAUUUAUGAUUAUUAAUAACGAUUAUUGGACAUUUAAUGUACACCAAUUUACUAUUCUAAGUUUAAAAGAAUUUUUGGAAAAGCUUUAUUAAAGUAUACUUUACCGUGAAAAUCCAUCCUUUUAAAGUGUACAAUUCAGCAGUCCUUACUAUCUUCACAGAAUUACCCAACCAUCAUCACUGUCUAAUUUGAGAAUGUCUGUCUUUAUCACUCUGCAGAGAAAGAAGUCACUCCAGUUCUUAAUUCACCUUUAGUUCCCAUCAACUACUAGUCUACUCUUAUCUGUCUGGCCAGGCUUAAGCUUGCUGUCUCCUCCACUCUUCAACAUGAAGUGCUAUAAUUCUCAUUUUACAGUAGAAAAUUUAGGCACAGAAAUGUAACUGCCCAAGGUCAUGUAUUAAUAAUGCAUGCAAGUGAAUUGAUGGUAAGAAAGCAUUAGAUGAAAUGCAGUAUGUAUUGCACUGUUAGGCACACAGAAGGAACAUUUCCUUCCCAGGGUAUGUCCCCUCUUACUGACCUUUGCACCUUAGAACUGACUGGAGGUAGAUAUGUCUUGUUUUUUUUUUUUCUCAGAGUAAUGAACUCUGGCAUUUGAGCACACAAAGCAGGCAGACUUAGAAAGACAUAGGUUUGCUGCCCAUACUCCUUGAACCCCUUUCCUCUUUUCGCACACACAUAAUCUAUUUUUCUUUAAGCUUGAAGAAUCAAACUACUACUGAAAAUUUUUUCCAUUUCACAUAUACCACAUAGGGUACUGAGUCUAUUUGUAAGACUUAAGAUUAAAGUCAUUCAAGAACUGAAUGCCUUUCUAUUUGGAUAGAUGUGAGAAUAAAGAUUUUUGCCUUAAUAAAGCUUGUUCAUUUCUGGUCUUCUUUGGUACUCUGCUUUAAUCCUGAUCUUUACUAUGAACAAUAAAUCUGUGCAAAGAAACCUGUA